UGCCAGCAGCCAGAGAGGCAGGAGCUCCUGGAGUAAUGAUGCGAGGAGCAGCGAGAACCGCAGAUCAGUCGCUAAUAAAGAACCAGCUCAUUCGCUGUCUCUUGAAGAGAGGCUGGUGCUCUCUGAUAGGAGUCAAAAGCUCAGUCACCACCCAUCUCCUCUUUGCAACUGCUUCAAAGUCAAGAUGGAUGAAACCUUCUGCGACAGCCCCAGUGAUGACCACCCCUGAUGCAAAGAACCCACCACCUUUUGAAAAAUGCUUUAUUAUAUAUUUA